rnacentral:rRNA from 1 species
AUUAGUCUUUUAAUUGAAGGCUUGUAUGAAUGGUUGGACAAAAAGUAAGCUGUCUCAAUUAUAAUAAUUGAAUUUAACUUUUAAGUGAGAAGGCUUAAAUAGAUUAAGGGGACGAUAAGACCCUAUAAAGCUUGACAAUAAAUCGUUUAUAUUAUAAACUGUUAGUGUAACUUGAUUUUAAACGGUGUUUGUUGCGUUGGGGCGACGGGAAUAUAAAAGGUAACUGUUCUUAUAACAUUUAAUAACAGAAAUAUCUGAAAAAUUAAUGAUCCUUUUUUAAAGAUCAUAAGAUUAAGUUACUUUAGGGAUAACAGCGUAAUCUUCUUUAAGAGUCCAUAUCGACAGGAAGGGUUGCGACCUCGAUGUUGAAUUAAGGUAUCCUUAUAAUGCAGCAGUUAUAAAGGAAGGUCUGUUCGACCUUUAAAUC